rnacentral:rRNA from 1 species
GACGAACGCUGGCGGCGUGCUUAACACAUGCAAGUCGAACGGAAAGGCCUCUUUCGGUGGGUAUUCGAGUGGCGAACUGGUGAGUAACACGGGAGUAACCUGCCCUUUACUUUGGGAUAACUUCAGGAAACGGGGGCCUAUACCUGAUAGGAGCUCCUGCCGCCUGGUGGGGGUUGGAGAGCUUCGGAGGUUGGGGGUGGACUGGCGGCUUAUCCGCUUGUGCGUGGAGUAGGGGCUUACCAAGGCAGUGGCGGGUAGCCGGCAUGGGAAUGGGACCGGCCACCUGGGGACUGAGAUACGGCCCAGUGUGCUACAGGAGACAGCAGUGGGAAAUAUUGCACAAUGGGUGGACGCCUGAUGCAGCAACGUUGUGUGCGUGAAGACGGCCUUUGGGGUGUGAACCGCUUUCGCCUGAGACGAAGCGGGAGUGACGGUAAUGAGUAAAGAAGCACCGGCUAACUACGUG